UACGAAGGGGGCGAGCGUUGUUCGGAUUUACUGGGCGUAAAGGGCGCGUAGGCGGCCUUGUCAGUCAGGCGUGAAAGCCCCGGGCUCAACCUGGGAACGGCGCUUGGGACGGCGAGGCUGGAGUUCGGGAGAGGAGAGUGGAAUUCCCAGUGUAGAGGUGAAAUUCGUAGAUAUUGGGAGGAACACCAGUGGCGAAGGCGGCUAUCUGGGCUGCAACUGACGCUGAGGCGCGAAGGCUAGGGUAGCAAACAGG
rnacentral:rRNA from 1 species